AGCUUUGCGCAAUGGCAGUAUCAUAGCCAACGAGGUCUACCCGAGCACAAUUAUUGCUAAUUGAAAACUUUUCCCAAUACUCCGCUGUGACAACUUGCAGAAUUUAGUUGGCAUUGGCAAUUUUUGACAGUCUCUAUGGAGA
ensembl:snRNA U4 U4 spliceosomal RNA